UCCCUGGUGGUUCUGUGGCUAAGACUCUGCUCUCCCAAUGCAGAGGGCUCAGAUUUGACCCCUGGUCAGGGAA
rnacentral:tRNA from 1 species